UUGAGAGAAGUAGUCCCUCUCCCGCUGGCCCAGUCCCCUGACUCAGUUUCAUGGAGUCUGUCUCCUUCGGGAGAAUUCUCUGUGAGUUCUGCUUAUCAGGCCCUCUAUCGCCGUCCUGUCAUUCCAUGGUUUUCCCCUCUCUGGAAGGCGCCAUUGCCCCUAAAGAUCAAGAUUUUUGUUUGGUAGCUUCUUCGCGACCGCCUCCCCUCUGGGACAGAGCUUCUUAAGUGGCACAGACCGGGUGAUGGUACUUGCCCCCUUUGUCACGUCCCGGAAACCGGAGCACAUAUUAUGUUCUCUUGUGUCGCGGCCCGAGCCCUUUGGUCCUUCGUGCACGAGGCCCUUGGACCAAACUGGGAGGCCCUAGAUCUAGCAGAAUUUCUGCAAACUAGGGCCACCCCAAGAGGGGGCAGGCACCGCACGGUCUGGCUUAUUUUUGCAGCACUGACGUGGACCCUUUGGACAACGCGCAAUAAAACUGUGAUUGAGCGGAUCUUCCCGCGACAAGCUUCUGACUCGUUCUUCAAAUUUCUUGCCUUCUUGCAGCACUGGCACCCGCUCUCUAGGCAACGUGACCGCGACCGCCUGGACGCCAUCUUAGGUGCCCUUCUUGCUUCGGCGCGCCGGCUUUCUGCUCGCUCUUCGGCUUUGUAG
rnacentral:rRNA from 1 species